rnacentral:rRNA from 1 species
UACGUAGGGUGCAAGCGUUGUCCGGAAUUAUUGGGCGUAAAGAGCUCGUAGGCGGUUUGUCGCGUCUGCUGUGAAAACUCGGGGCUUAACCCCGGGCCUGCAGUGGGUACGGGCAGACUAGAGUGCGGUAGGGGAGACUGGAAUUCCUGGUGUAGCGGUGAAAUGCGCAGAUAUCAGGAAGAACACCCGUGGCUAAGGCGGCUCUCUAGUACGGUACUGACGCUGAGACGCGAAAGCGUGGGGAGCGAACAGG